rnacentral:rRNA from 1 species
GAGACUCUGUGCGCGUGCAUAUCAAUAAGCGGAGGAAAAGAAACUAACAAGGAUUCCCCUAGUAACGGCGAGUGAAGCGGGAAGAGCUCAAAUUUGAAAUCUUAAAGGGUUUCCCUUUACGAAUUGUAGUUUAAAGAAGUGUUUCCUGUUGGAGUUUCGGUAAAAGUUCUUUGGAAUAGGACAUCAUAGAGGGUGAGAAUCCCGUAUUUUACCGUUACUUUCCAGCUGUGUGAUACACUUUCAAAGAGUCGGAUUGUUUGGGAAUGCAGUCCAAGAUGGGUGGUAAAUUUCAUCUAAAGCUAAAUAUUGGCGAGAGACCGAUAGCGAACAAGUACCGUGAGGGAAAGAUGAAAAGAACUUUGAAAAGAGAGUUAAACAGUACGUGAAAUUGUCAAAAGGGAAGCGUUUGACACCAGUGUUGUUUUUCCGAAAAUCAAUUACGAAUGUUUUGUUUUUGAGGAGUUAUGACUUCAUCGGCUUGCUCCUUUCUUUACGAAACUUUCUUAAUGCACUUUUCAGGUUAACAAGUCAACAUCAAUUUCUUUUGUUGUAAAAGGGUAUGAGGAAGGUGGCUUUCUCUUCGGCGCAAGUGUUUAUAGCCUUGUAGCUCUGCAAUCGGAGAGAUUGAGGUCUGCAGCGUAGAUCCUUCGGGGUUAGAUACAGUUGUGCUAAGCUAUAGCCUUUUCAUAGACAACUUGUUGACUAUGUCUCAGUCAUGUAGCUUACUCGCUUAUGCUAUUUUACCUACGCUUAGGAUGUUGAAGAUGUAGCACAUCAU